CAUUAGCUAGUUGGUAAGGUAACGGCUUACCAAGGCGAUGAUGCAUAGCCGAGUUGAGAGACUGAUCGGCCACAAUGGAACUGAGACACGGUCCAUACUCCUACGGGAGGCAGCAGUAGGGAAUCUUCCACAAUGGGCGCAAGCCUGAUGGAGCAACACCGCGUGAGUGAAGAAGGGUUUCGGCUCGUAAAGCUCUGUUGUUGGAGAAGAACGUGCGUGAGAGUAACUGUUCGCGCAGUGACGGUAUCCAACCAGAAAGUCACGGCUAACUACGUGCCAGCAGCCGCGGUAAUACGUAGGUGGCAAGCGUUAUCCGGAUUUAUUGGGCGUAAAGCGAGCGCAGGCGGUUGCUUAGGUCUGAUGUGAAAGCCUUCGGCUUAACCGAAGAAGUGCAUCGGAAACCGGGCAACUUGAGUGCAGAAGAGGACAGUGGAACUCCAUGUGUAGCGGUGGAAUGCGUAGAUAUAUGGAAGAACACCAGUGGCGAAGGCGGCUGUCUGGUCUGCAACUGACGCUGAGGCUCGAAAGCAUGGGUAGCGAACAGGAUUAGAUACCCUGGUAGUCCAUGCCGUAAACGAUGAGU
rnacentral:rRNA from 1 species